AUACAGAGGGUGCAAGCGUUAUCCGGAAUCAUUGGGUUUAAAGGGUCCGUAGGCGGGCGAUUAAGUCAGAGGUGAAAUCCCACAGCUCAACUGUGGAACUGCCUUUGAUACUGGUUGUCUUGAGUUACAGUGAAGUAGAUAGAAUGUGUAGUGUAGCGGUGAAAUGCAUAGAUAUUACACAGAAUACCGAUUGCGAAGGCAGUCUACUAACUGUAUACUGACGCUAAUGGACGAAAGCGUGGGGAGCGAACAGGAUUAGAUACCCCUGUAGUCC
rnacentral:rRNA from 1 species